ACAACAACAACAAUAAUAAUCAUAAUUAUAAUAAUAAUAUUAAUUAUUUAUUAUUAACUAAUUCAUUCAUUCAUUCAUGAUUUGGUGCUAAAAAUUGGAAUGGAUUGUUUUUGAACGUCAUGGAUUCGUGUGACCUCUGAAGUCCGAUCGCAACAUCUCUUCCACUUGUCACCAUUUAUUAGAACCGCCGUUCUUAACAGUUGAAAUAAAAACUGUUGGAAUGGAAGGACCGGCACCGGCUUCUCCUUCAAAGAGGAUGAAAUCAACUGGAUGGGGGCUAGUUACGAUGGCGUUUCGAGUGCGGAGCUCUAAGUACCGCCAUAUUUUUGGCAGUCCUUAUAGAAAAGAGCUUUGUUAUGAAAAUGUUCAUAUUACCAGAAAUGCCCAUGACAGCAAUUUCUGUGCUGUGAAUCCCAAAUUUCUGGCAGUUGUGAUUGAAGCCUCAGGUGGAGGAGCAUUUUUAGUACUUCCAUUGGAAAAGACUGGUCGUGUUGAUAUCAAUGCUCCCAAAGUUACUGGUCAUGCUGGAACAGUUUUGGAUAUCAAAUGGAAUCCAUUUGAUGACAAUGUCAUUGCUUCAGCUGCUGACGAUAACACGGUAAAAGUUUGGCGGAUUCCCAACACUAUGCAUAGUAACCUGACUGAGUGGGCAGUUGACCUUCAUGGUCAUCAACGUAAGGUUACAAACAUUGAAUGGCAUCCGACCGCUUCUAAUAUCAUUCUCAGUACUGGAAUGGACCAUAAGUGUAUUCUGUGGAACGUGGAGCAAGCUGAGCCUCUUAAUAUCAUUAACUGCCAUAAUGAUACUGUGUUCUCAAUAACUUGGAACCGGGAAGGUAGUCUUUUUGCUACCACAUGCAAGGAUAGAAAGAUCAGAGUACACGAUCCGAGAACCGCCCAAGUUGCCAUCGACGGAACUGGCCAUCAAGGUGUUAAAGCCUCCAAAUCUGUUUUUCUUGGAGACACAAACCGGAUCUUCACAACAGGUUUCUCAAGAUCUAGUGAGCGCCAAUAUGCUAUCUGGGAUGUGAGAAACAUGACCAAAUCUUUAAAAACUGAAGUAGUGGAUUUCUCCAGUGGAAUUCUGUUUCCAUUUUAUGAUCAUGAUAGUAAAGUGAUUUUCCUUGCUGGCAAGGGUGAUGGUAAUAUUAGAUACUAUGAAAUAGUAAGUGCUGCCCCCUAUUGCCACUAUCUCAAUCAGUUCCAGUCUUCAUCUCCACAAAGAAGUUUAGGAAUAAUGCCAAAGCGUGGCUGUGAUGCUAAGCGCUGUGAAAUUGUGCGGUUUUACAAACUUCACACUGCCAAAGAUCUGGUGGAGCCAGUUUCAAUGAUUGUUCCUAGGAAAUCUGACCAGUUCCAAGACGAUAUUUUCCCACCAACGGCCAGUUGUGUUCCCUCCCUCACAGCUGAUGAAUGGAUCAGUGGACAAAAUAGAGAACCAAUUUUAGUUUCACUCCAGGAUGGUCAAAUGACCAAUUGCCCUCCAAUUACAUCUGCCAAAGCUGUUCAAAAACAGGAUGGAGCCUUAAAGCAAACCCCGACCAUCACCACUUUCAAGGCUGUCAACCGUCCUCCAUUGGCGCGUUCGUCUACAUUACCUACAGCUCAGGUUCCUCCUAGUGUUAACACAGAAAUUAAUAAGGAACCGGCAUCUCUGAAAAACAUAAAAAGACUUAGCUCUAAUGAUGAAUUUGUUACUUUAUCAAGUGAUCCUGCGAAUAACACCUGUACUAUUGAAAACCAUGGGGAAGGUGAUGUGUCAACAGCCAAGGAAUCUGUUAACAAAACCCCUGAAAAAGUGAUGAGGAAGUCUUGGGCUCCGUCGUCUAAUUCUAGUUCUGCUGAUGAUGUCACAUCAAAUGGGAUUGUUUCAUCGUCACCUGUCGAUAAUUCUCUGCCAUUUGACCAAAAUCUUAUAGAAGGCAGCAGUCAAGAAAUCGCUGACUUGCUUCAAUCAUGUCACUCUGAAAAUUUAACCGAAAUAGUCGAUGCAGAAUCCAAAAUUGAUACAAAAAAUGGUCUGGAACCAGAAAAUAUUCAUUCUACAACUGCUGUCUUUAAGUCAAAUGUUAAUUUGACAUUUUCUUCUGAAACUAAAUCAGUUGAAAGUGAUGAACGAAGAAUCCAUGUGAAGAAGGUAUGGUCCCCAACUCCCAUCUCUCCUUCAAGCCUGGAGAAUGGGACCAAUCAGCUUGAUGCUGAGCUACGCAAAGCCUACUUUCAACAAGUGGAAGAGAUCAAAAGCCUUAAGGAACAAAUGUCCAUGAAGGACAAACGGAUUCGGCAACUGGAAGAAGAAAUCUGCUCAAUCAGGCAACGAGUGAACAGCGGUGAAAGUGAAAGUAACUGCUAAAGUCGAAAUCCCUUUCAGGGUCAAGUAACAACACCCCGUGGAGGGAUUAAACUGUUUCUGAUGAUGAUAAUGAUGAUGAUGAUGAUGACGAUGAUGAUGAUGAUGAUGGUGAUGCACACACAAACAAAUUCUUACUAUUGACUAAUGGGAAUAUUUUAGACAAUUAGUUGUUAUUAUUAUUAUUAUUAUUAUUAUUAUUUUAUUAUCAUUAUUAUUAUUAUUAACUAAAUAGACUUGACCAAUGCAUCAGUUAAGAAUGCACCUCACUGCUGUAUGACAUUGUGGCCACUAUUACAAUUACCACCACCACCACAACCACCACCAGUACAACUUAUAGAUCAGUUAACACCAACAAAUGCUCAAUAACAACUGAUAAAACUAAAAAAAAGGACUUUGGACUGGAUUUAUUCAAUUCUUUCUCUUGUCCUCGUGUUUUUAGUUUUUCUCUCAUUUUUCUUAUUUUCUUAGUCCUCCCCGCCCCAGCCCCUCACUUCUCUUUUUUUCUUUCUUUGUAUCACUUUUGAUGUUUUACUUAUUUGUAAAAAAAAAAAAAAAAAACUAAGCCUGUUCUGAAGUUCUGAGAUCACGAAAUUUAUGAAGGAAGAAUAAACGAAAUAGCCACGAAAUUACUGCAAGAAGUGGAAUAGUUGUGAAAUUCUGACAGUAAUAAUAAUAAUAAUAAUAAUAAUGAUAAUUCAAUUUUAUUAUUUGUCAUAUUUAAUUUUUUUAAUGAAAAUAAAAUAGAAUAAUUUGAUAAAAGUCCUUCAUAAGGAUAUUUUAAGUUUCAUCUUAAUUCAGUUGGGCCUGCCCCACCCCCCAUCUACCAUAUGAUCCCUCCUCCCCCAUAUACCACAUAAUAUUCCUUUCCCACCUUAAAAAAAGAAAAAAAGAAGACAUUUCUAUGUAUUUAUUUAUUUUUUUCUUUCUGUAUUUGCAAAACAAAAAUAACUGAAAAAUUUGUACAAAACUUUUUGCUGAAAUGUGUAGAAUUGUCUGCCAAUCUUUCUCUCUUACAAACACACACACACACACACACACACACACACUGCUGUACAUAUUGCACCCACAGUGCCGCCCCCUCCCAGUCUUGUUAAUCAUAAACACUCUGCAGCUAGCUUUAUACCUUCUUCAGUUGACACUACUACUACUACUACUACCACUACAACACUUCUGUGUAUAGCCAUAGAGUUGCAAUAUGCACACCUAGCCAAGUAUUGCACACAUACACACACACACAUACACAUACACCAAGCUGUAUUGAUAUUUGUUUUUUCUGUGAUUGUCAGAGUAAACUAAAACAUUUAUCUUUUAAAA
rnacentral:misc_RNA from 1 species